rnacentral:tRNA from 1 species
GGCCUAGUGGCGAAGUCGGUCAACGCGGCGGUCUGCAAAACCGCUAUGCGCCGGUUCGAUCCCGGCCUAGGCCU